UACGGAGGAGGCAAGCGUUGUCCGGAUUUAUUGGGCGUAAAGAGCGUGUAGGCGGCCAAGCAGGUCCGCUGUGAAAACUCGAGGCUCAACCUCGAGACGUCGGUGGAAACCGUUUGGCUAGAGUCCGGAAGAGGAGAGUGGAAUUCCCGGUGUAGCGGUGAAAUGCGCAGAUAUCGGGAAGAACACCCGUGGCGAAGGCGGCUCUCUGGGACGGUACUGACGCUGAGACGCGAAAGCGUGGGGAGCGAACAGG
rnacentral:rRNA from 1 species